UACGUAGGGUGCGAGCGUUAAUCGGAAUUACUGGGCGUAAAGAGCUCGUAGGCGGUCUGUCGCGUCGGCUGUGAAAACUCGGGGCUCAACCCCGAGCCUGCAGUCGAUACGGGCAGACUAGAGUGCUGUAGGGGAGACUGGAAUUCCUGGUGUAGCGGUGAAAUGCGCAGAUAUCAGGAGGAACACCGGUGGCGAAGGGCGGGGUCUCUGGGCAGUAACUGACGCUGAGGAGCGAAAGCGUGGGGGAGCGAACAGG
rnacentral:rRNA from 1 species